rnacentral:rRNA from 1 species
AACGAACGCUGGCGGCAUGCCUAACACAUGCAAGUCGAACGCCUGUAGCAAUACAGGAGUGGCAGACGGGUGCAUAACACGUUGGAACCUACCCUUGGGUUCGGAAUAACCGCGGGAAACUGCGGCUAAUACCGGAUACGUCCUCUGGGAGAAAGAUUCAUCGCCCUUGGAGGGGCCCGCGUCGGAUUAGCGAGUUGGUGAGGUAACGGCUCACCAAGGCGACGAUCCGUAGCUGAUCUGAGAGGAUGAGCAGCCACACUGGAACUGAGACACGGUCCAGACUCCUACGGGAGGCAGCAGUGGGGAAUAUUGGACAAUGGGGGCAACCCUGAUCCAGCAAUGCCGCGUGGGUGAUGAAGGCCUUCGGGUUGUAAAGCCCUUUUGGCAGGGACGAUGAUGACGGUACCUGCAGAAUAAGCCCCGGCUAACUUCGUGCCAGCCGCCGCAGUAA